rnacentral:piRNA from 1 species
UUCCUGUCAGGUGUGGACUUGUGUCUGCAGCC